rfam:Streptomyces lydicus strain 103, complete genome.
UCCGACCGGCCGGACACACAUGUGACCGGCCCACAAGUGGAGGCUCCGAUCUCCCACCCGACCGACCUCUGGUUGGCGGGUCAACGGUCCGGCUGCGCCCCGCGGAGACUUCGCGGCGGUGCUCCAGAUCUAUGUGGAGCCCCGCCUGUGUCCCGUCCGGGGCAUUUUUC